rnacentral:piRNA from 1 species
UCCCCGAUGUUGAACUACCCAGACUCUAU